UUAGUACGGCGAGUGAAGCGGCAAAAGCUCAAAUUUGAAAUCUGGUACCUUCGGUGCCCGAGUUGUAAUUUGGAGAGGGCAACUUUGGGGCCGUUCCUUGUCUAUGUUCCUUGGAACAGGACGUCAUAGAGGGUGAGAAUCCCGUGUGGCGAGGAGUGCGGUUCUUUGUAAAGUGCCUUCGAAGAGUCGAGUUGUUUGGGAAUGCAGCUCUAAGUGGGUGGUAAAUUCCAUCUAAAGCUAAAUAUUGGCGAGAGACCGAUAGCGAACAAGUACAGUGAUGGAAAGAUGAAAAGAACUUUGAAAAGAGAGUGAAAAAGUACGUGAAAUUGUUGAAAGGGAAGGGCAUUUGAUCAGACAUGGUGUUUUGUGCCCUCUGCUCCUUGUGGGUAGGGGAAUCUCGCAUUUCACUGGGCCAGCAUCAGUUUUGGUGGCAGGAUAAAUCCAUAGGAAUGUAGCUUGCCUCGGUAAGUAUUAUAGCCUGUGGGAAUACUGCCAGCUGGGACUGAGGACUGCGACGUAAGUCAAGGAUGCUGGCAUAAUGGUUAUAUGCCGCCCGUCUUGAACCACGGACCA
rnacentral:rRNA from 1 species